GAUCACAUGGGUUCUGGUCACAGGAGACAUUUUGAGACAGAAAUAACUAGGCGGAAGUGACUAGGUCCUGCCAGGCAUGCGCGACCAUGCCCAACCAUGGGGGCGUACUGUGAAUCCAUAUCAAACAAAGAAAUGGAAGCAAGGCAAAUCUUACUGUCAAGAUUGGAUAUCUGCGAAAAUCAACACUGAUCAUCUCUUCUAAAGUGAAAUCGAAUGGAAUAAUCAGUUUCUCAUCUACUAUGAAUGCAAGCAUAUAUAUGUAUAUUAGUGUUUACACACAGUAAUGUUUAUAUCUAAGAAAUGAUAGAUUGAGAGAAACAAAAGCAUCAUUCCCUGAAGAGGUAAAGCACGGUGGUGAUCAUAAAGGAAGAUGAUGCUGGACACCAAGUUGCUGUCUCUCACAUUCUUGUAAACUAUUGCAAUAUUGGCAUGUACUCCAAAGUUCUAGAGAAAGAAUAUAUUUUAUUUAUACACUUAC